rnacentral:lncRNA from 1 species
AAGAACCCAAAAUCUCAAUAUUUUACCUAUGAAACUCGAAAAUAAGGGCUGGAAUUUCGAACAGAAACACGUGGCUUACCUCAAGAUUAGUUGUAUGGGUUUUGUAGAGCUCUCCGCGGUGAACGCGUGGCCGCAAACGGAGCGGCAAUCGGAGCUCUAGAUCAAAAGUUAUGGUGGUUUGAAGAUCAAGUGAGAGAAAGAACUUGAGAGAGUGUUCUUCCUCCCCUCUCUUCAAUUUCAGCGUGUUUGAGUGUGUUGUGAGGAGAGAGAGUGCUGAAAACUAGGGUUUUGGUUUAGUUAUGUUGGGCCAAGGGCCCACUUUGGGUCCGGUUGGCCCGGUUUGGCCCGUUCGGUCCAAUCUUGGUCCGA